rnacentral:rRNA from 1 species
UAUGUGAUCGUCUCUUGCAUAUCAAUAAGCGGAGGAAAAGAAACUAACAAGGAUUCCCCUAGUAACGGCGAGUGAAGCGGGAAGAGCUCAAAUUUGAAAUCUUAAAGGGUUUCCCUUUACGAAUUGUAGUUUAAAGAAGUGUUUUCUGUUGAGGUUUUGGUAAAAGUUCUUUGGAAUAGGACAUCAUAGAGGGUGAGAAUCCCGUAUUUGACCUUUACUUUCAACUUUGUGACACACUUUCAAAGAGUCGGAUUGUUUGGGAAUGCAGUCCAAAAUGGGUGGUAAAUUUCAUCUAAAGCUAAAUAUUGGCGAGAGACCGAUAGCGAACAAGUACCGUGAGGGAAAGAUGAAAAGAACUUUGAAAAGAGAGUUAAACAGUACGUGAAAUUGUCAAAAGGGAAGCGUUUGACACCAGUGUUGUUUUUCUGAAAAUCAAUUAAAGAACUGUUUAUGCUAAGCUGUUUAGACUUUAUCAGCUAAUCUGUUUAGUUUUGAGCUUUUCUUUAAUGCACUUUUCAGUUAACAAGUCAACAUCAAUUUCUUUUGCUGUAAAAAAGCUUGAGGAAGGUGGCUUGAGAUUCGUCUUAAGUGUUUAUAGCCUCUUGCCUAUGCAGUCGGAGAGAUUGAGGUCUGCAGCGUAGAUCCUUCGGGGCUAAAUGCAUUUGUGCUAAGUUAUAGCAUUUUAUAGACAACUUGUUGACUAUGAUUUGUCUUGUAGCUUACUCGCUUAUGUUAUUUUACCUACGCUUAGGAUGUUGACACACGCGCGUGCUCG